UACGUAGGGUGCAGGCGUUAAUCGGAAUUACUGGGCGUAAAGCGUGCGUAGGCGGUCUUGUAAGUUUGGUGUGAAAUCUCCCGGCUCAACUGGGAGGGUGCGCCGAAAACUGCAAGGCUGGAGUAUGGGAGAGGUAGGCGGAAUUCCUGGUGUAGCGGUGAAAUGCGUAGAUAUCAGGAGGAACACCUGUGGUGUAGACGGCUUACUGGACCAUGACUGACGCUGAGGCACGAAAGCGUGGGGAGCAAACAGG
rnacentral:rRNA from 1 species